rnacentral:rRNA from 1 species
AACGAACGCUGGCGGCAGGCUUAACACAUGCAAGUCGAACGAUGUAGCAAUACAUAGUGGCACACGGGUGAGUAACGCGUGGGAAUGUACCUUAUAGUGGGGAAUAACGUUGGGAAACUAACGCUAAUACCGCAUACGCCCUUCGGGGGAAAGAUUUAUCGCUAUAAGAUCAGCCCGCGUGAGAUUAGGUAGUUGGUGGGGUAAUGGCCUACCAAGCCUACGAUCUCUAGCUGGUCUGAGAGGAUGAUCAGCCACACUGGAACUGAGACACGGUCCAGACUCCUACGGGAGGCAGCAGUGGGGAAUAUUGGGCAAUGGAGGCAACUCUGACCCAGCCAUGCCGCGUGAAUGAUGAAGGCCUUAGGGUUGUAAAGUUCUUUCGCCGAUGAAGAUAAUGACGGUAGUCGGAGAAGAAGCCCCGGCUAACUUCGUGCCAGCAGCCGCCGUAA